GAUGAACGCUGGCGGCGUGCCUAAUACAUGCAAGUCGAGCGAAUGGAUUAAGAGCUUGCUCUUAUGAAGUUAGCGGCGGACGGGUGAGUAACACGUGGGUAACCUGCCCAUAAGACUGGGAUAACUCCGGGAAACCGGGGCUAAUACCGGAUAACAUUUUGAACCGCAUGGUUCGAAAUUGAAAGGCGGCUUCGGCUGUCACUUAUGGAUGGACCCGCGUCGCAUUAGCUAGUUGGGGAGGUACCGGCUCACCAAGGCAACGAUGCGUAGCCGACCUGAGAGGGUGAUCGGCCACACUGGGACUGAGACACGGCCCAGACUCCUACGGGAGGCAGCAGUAGGGAAUCUUCCGCAAUGGACGAAAGUCUGACGGAGCAACGCCGCGUGAGUGAUGAAGGCUUUCGGGUCGUAAAACUCUGUUGUUAGGGAAGAACAAGUGCUAGUUGAAUAAGCUGGCACCUUGACGGUACCUAACCAGAAAGCCACGGCCAACUACGUGCCAGCCGCCGCGGUAA
rnacentral:rRNA from 1 species